rnacentral:rRNA from 1 species
GACGAACGCUGGCGGCGUGCUUAACACAUGCAAGUCGAACGGAAAGGCCCUGCUUUUGUGGGGUGCUCGAGUGGCGAACGGGUGAGUAACACGUGAGUAACCUGCCCUUGACUUUGGGAUAACUUCAGGAAACUGGGGCUAAUACCGGAUAGGAGCUCCUGCUGCAUGGUGGGGGUUGGAAAGUUUCGGCGGUUGGGGAUGGACUCGCGGCUUAUCAGCUUGUUGGUGGGGUAGUGGCUUACCAAGGCUUUGACGGGUAGCCGGCCUGAGAGGGUGACCGGCCACAUUGGGACUGAGAUACGGCCCAGACUACUACGGGAGGCAGCAGUGUGGAAUAUUGCACAAUGGGCGGAAGCCUGAUGCAGCAACGCCGCGUGCGGGAUGACGGCCUUCGGGUUGUAAACCGCUUUCGCCUGUGACGAAGCGUGAGUGACGGUAAUGGGUAAAGAAGCACCGGCUAACUACGUG